GCCUAACACAUGCAAGUCGAACGGAACUAAUUUGACUGAUUCCUUCGGGAUGAAGAAUUUUUAGUUUAGUGGCGGACGGGUGAGUAACGCGUGGGUAACCUGCCUCUGAGAGGGGAAUAACGUUCUGAAAAGAACGCUAAUACCGCAUAACACAUAUAUGCCGCAUGACAGAUAUGUCAAAGAUUUUAUCGCUCGGAGAUGGACUCGCGUCCGAUUAGUUAGUUGGUGAGGUAACGGCUCACCAAGACCGCGAUCGGUAGCCGGACUGAGGGGUUGAACGGCCACAUUGGGACUGAGACACGGCCCAGACUCCUACGGGAGGCAGCAGUGGGGGAUAUUGCGCAAUGGGGGCAACCCUGACGCAGCAACGCCGCGUGAAGGAUGAAGGUUUUCGGAUUGUAAACUUCUUUUAUCAGGGACGAAUUUUGACGGUACCUGAUGAAUAAGCUCCGGCUAACUACGUGCCAGCAGCCGCAGUAAUAC
rnacentral:rRNA from 1 species